rnacentral:tRNA from 1 species
GGAAGGGUUCCCGAGUGGCCAAAGGGGGCAGACUGUAAAUCUGCUGGCUCAGCCUUCAGAGGUUCGAAUCCUCUCCCUUCCACCA